UCUGGAACYRCGGKGGAGGAAAAGCGGGGGAGCWCCCAGGUUUAGAUUYCCCKUGUACUUCRCSSYUAAAAGGAGGAGKGUUUAWKUGYUAGGGKGUUUYCCGCYCUUUWGUGCUGCAGGAAACRCAUAAKCCYUCCGCGGGGGGAGUACGGUCRCAWGACAGAAACUCAAAARGAAUGGRGGGGGGCCCGCACAAGCGGKGGAGCAUGUGGUUUAAUUUGAAGCAACKCGAAGAMCCUUUACCAGGUCUGACAUCCUCYGACAAUCCUAGAGAUAGGACGUCCCCUUCGGGGGCAGAGUGACAGGUGGUGCAUGGUUGUCGUCAGCUCGUGUCGUGAGAUGUUGGGUUAAGUCCCGCAACGAGCGCAACCCUUGAUCUUAGUUGCCAGCAUUCAGUUGGGCMCUCUAAGGUGACUGCCGGUGACAAACCGGAGGAAGGUGGGGAUGACGUCAAAUCAUCAUGCCCCUUAUGACCUGGGCUACACACGUGCUACAAUGGACAGAACAAAGGGCAGCGAAACCGCGAGGUUAAGCCAAUCCCACAAAUCUGUUCUCAGUUCGGAUCGCAGUCUGCAACUCGACUGCGUGAAGCUGGAAUCGCUAGUAAUCGCGGAUCASCAUGCCGCGGUGAAUACGUUCCCGGGCCUUGUACACACCGCCCGUCACACCACGAGAGUUUGUAACACCCGAAGUCGGUGAGGUAACCUUUAUGGAGCCAGCCGCCGAAGGUG
rnacentral:rRNA from 1 species